rnacentral:rRNA from 1 species
AGUGAACGCUGGCGGUAGGCCUAACACAUGCAAGUCGAACGGCAGCACAGUAAGAGCUUGCUCUUACGGGUGGCGAGUGGCGGACGGGUGAGGAAUAAAUCGGAAUCUACUUUUUCGGGGGGGAUAACGUAGGGAAACUUACGCUAAUACCGCAUACGACCUACGGGUGAAAGCAGGGGAUCUUCGGACCUUGCGCGAUUGAAUGAGCCGAUGUCGGAUUAGCUAGUUGGCGGGGUAAAGGCCCACCAAGGCGACGAUCCGUAGCUGGUCUGAGAGGAUGAUCAGCCACACUGGAACUGAGACACGGUCCAGACUCCUACGGGAGGCAGCAGUGGGGAAUAUUGGACAAUGGGCGCAAGCCUGAUCCAGCCAUACCGCGUGGGUGAAGAAGGCCUUCGGGUUGUAAAGCCCUUUUGUUGGGAAAGAAAAGCAGCAGGUUAAUACCCCGCUGUUCUGACGGUACCCAAAGAAUAAGCACCGGCUAACUUCGUG